rfam:Ficedula albicollis isolate OC2 chromosome 26, whole genome shotgun sequence.
UCUGAGAUUGGCUCCAUGGGUCAGAGCUGGGUGCUGAUAACACCCAGGUCAUGGGUUUGAUCCCCAUUCACUUAA